AUCACACGUUAGUUCCUAUAAAGUAAAACAUCAAUAAGUUACUAAUCAUGUCCAUAAAACAUAAAUAGUUUGUCUCAGAAGACGUAAAUGAUUUCAUUUUCAAUAAGUCAUUGCUCGAUGUGAUUGGCGUCUCCCUUUCAGGCCGCUCACAAUAGGAUAUCUAUGCGAUAGCUAGUUUGUAUUCAGUGUAAUCAGUGUUCCUUAUACCGUUUCCUUAUUGGAUUACGGUCGAAAGGUUAUUUUGUAGUAGAUAACCCAUUGGCGCCGGACAUAACGCGCGUGGCGGACGGAGAGGCGGGCGUCCUCCUUAUCUCACGCUUUAAAAGGAAACUAGCAAUGCCUUUAAAAUCACCCAGAUAUAUACCUAAGGUUUAUCAUCAUUGUUUUCCGCCGCCGGGGUGGGUGGUGAUGGUAGUCUGUGAGGGGGCUCAUGUGUCCGCGGUGGUGGCGCUGGUGGAGUGCUCGGCCGCAGUAACGCUCGGGCCUCGCUUGGUAACAAGUCGGGCGGUGCUGAACACUGGGAGGCAGCUCGUCCGACCAACUCCUCGGUGUCCGUCCGCUCACUCUCAGUGCCAACUGGAAAACAAGAUUUUGUGAAUAAAUAAAAAGGUUAUUUCACUGGCAAAGACCGUGUUAAA